CGGCUUUAUUAACUAUUACGUAAUUGAUAUGUUAUUUGUUGCAAGAAGUCUUAAGAUUAUACCUCAAUAUGUGUUUGUUUUUUUGUUUGUUUGUUUGUUUUUUACCUCAGAGAUCAGCGCGAUACUCUCACCAAGCAGGAAUGUUUAGAUGAUGCAUGCUCUGACACGAAGAAGCAUCCCAAAGAGCAGGUCACCCCAAAGACUGUCUCUCUUCACCAUAACAUCACACCAGGCACUUUGACAGUGAAGGAUCAAAGAACACAACACCAUCGGCCAUAGCUGCGUCCCCCGUUCAGCUCGCACUGGACCCUCAGAACGCGUGGCCUUUGUGUUGGACCAUAGAUGGACAGAUCUAAUGAGAACUGCCCAUGAUCAUCACUUGGUAACACACCAUGGGAGCAAGGAUCUUCUUAAACAGGUAGAUGGCUUGUUUUUGUUUUGUUUUUUUUUUCUUCUUCCUGUGUUCUCCACAACUUUAGAUUGUUUUAUUUUUACUAUUAUUGUAGUUGUUGUUGUUGUUGUUUAAUCUACCAUUUUAAAUUAAUUUAUUUCCAUUUGUUAAUUUAAAUACCAGAAGUAUUAUUUGCACUGUACUUUAGUGUGUUUUUUAAAUUAAUUGUAUUGACUUGCAUUGUUAUUUUAUCUUGCUCAGUUUUGUAAACACUAAAUGUUAGUAACUGCUAUUAUUAAAUGCUGUAAAUAAUUAUUUAAUUUAAAAUACUCUACCAGCCAAAUGUUUUUCAGC